UACUGAAUCUUUAAGUUGGGAGAGCGUUAGACUAUAGAUCGAAAAGUCCCUGGUUCGAUCCCGGGUUCCGGCA
rnacentral:tRNA from 1 species